GCCCUCGUAGCAUAACGGCGGUGCAUUGCCUUGGUAUUAUAUAACUAAAGAGGCAAAGGUUCCGGGUUCAAAUCUCGGCGAGGGCU
rnacentral:tRNA from 1 species